GCCCUGGUAGCUCAACGGUAGAGCACCCGCCUCGUAAGCGGGGGGUUGAGGGUUCGAAUCCCUCCCAGGGCU
rnacentral:tRNA from 1 species